GUUGGCCACAAGCCUUUGUGGGGAAGGACUUCUAGGGGCAGGUUUCCAGCAGCCUCUGAUCUCCAGAUAACUUGACCGGGCCAGUCACAUAGUGAAUGAAAUCAUUUUGGGCCCUUCCCCCAUCAGACACUUUUCCAGGAAAUAGCUUUUUGCUGCCAUGACCUCUUUUGCUGCUGUUUGAUAUCCUUGAUAUGAAAAAUGUGAAUGGAGACGAGCACCCCAUUAACCAGCAGCUCUUAGGCAGCAUUGCUUGUUGGAGGUAUCUUUUCACAGAGAUGCCAUUUGGAGUAGCUACUUUGAGGACAAGAGACAAAAAGCCUGAGGAGAAAGUCACCAUGAAGGAAACAGAAAGAUUAAACAGCAUGCGUGAUCUUUGAUUCAGAGUCCCCAUCUCACCCUGGACUGCCUUCCUUUGGAAUUCCCUUGUGGAAAAAAAAAUUAAACUCUUAUUUGGUUAAAUAAUUUUCUGGAGGCCAGAAGCCUGACAUCAGUUUCACAGAGUCAAAAUCAAGGUGUUGGCAGGAUACUCUACAGUCCCUCUGGAGACUUUAGGUGAGAAUCCAUUCUUUGCUUUUUCCUGGUGGCUGCUGGCAUUCCUUUGCUUGUGGCUGUGCCAUUUGAAGGCCAAUAUCUUCAAGUGUCUCGAUGCUAUGUCUUCACAUAGCCUUCUCCUAUGGGUGUCUCCUCCACUCUGUGUCAAAUAUCCAUGUAAAAAGGUUGCCUGUGAUGGCAUUUACAGCCUACCUGAAUAACUCAGGACAAUCUUCCCAACUCAAGAUCCUUAUCUUAAAACAACCCUUUUUCCAAGUAAGAUAAUACUCACAAGUUCUAAGGAUUAGGACCAGAUUCUUUUGGGGACCAUUUUUCAGGCUUCCACAAUACUUAAUGUUCUCCCACCACCAAAGAAAAUCUGUCUCUUUUAUUUUCUUUAUUUUGAUGGUUAUGAACGUAAUUCAAGUUUCUUAUCAAAAAGUGUCU
rnacentral:lncRNA from 1 species